rnacentral:rRNA from 1 species
AGAGUUUGAUCAUGGCUCAGGAUGAACGCUGGCGGUAUGCCUAACACAUGCAAGUCGUACGAGAGUUUUUAACUCUAGUGGCGGACGGGUGAGUAACACGUGAGAAUUUACCUUUAGGAGGGGGAUAACAAUUGGAAACGAAUGCUAAUACCCCAUAUGCUUCAGAGUGAAAUGGAUUUAUAUUUAUCCGCCUAAAGAGAAGCUCGCGGCUGAUUAGCUUGUUGGUAAGGUAAGAGCUUACCAAGGCGACGAUCAGUAUCUGGUUUGAGAGGACGAUCAGACACACUGGAACUGAGACACGGUCCAGACUCCUACGGGAGGCAGCAGUGGGGAAUUUUCCGCAAUGGGCGAAAGCCUGACGGAGCAAUACCGCGUGAGGGAAGACUGCCUAUGGGUUGUAAACCUCUUUUUUCAGGGAGGAAUUUUGACGUGUACCUGAAGAAUAAGCAUCGGCUAACUCCGUGCCAGCAGCCGCGGUAAGACGGAGGAUGCAAGUGUUAUCCGGAAUCACUGGGCGUAAAGCGUCUGUAGGUGGUUAAGCAAGUCAACUGUUAAAUCUUGAGGCUCAACUUCAAAAUCGCAGUCGAAACUGUUUGACUAGAGUAUAGUAGGGGUAAAGGGAAUUUCCAGUGGAGCGGUGAAAUGCGUAGAUAUUGGAAAGAACACCGAUGGCGAAGGCACUUUACUGGGCUAUUACUGACACUCAGAGACGAAAGCUAGGGUAGCAAAUGGGAUUAGAUACCCCAGUAGUCCUAGCCGUAAACAAUGGAUACUAGAUGUUGAACAGAUCGACCUGUGCAGUAUCAAAGCUAACGCGUUAAGUAUCCCGCCUGGGAAGUAUGCUCGCAAGAGUGAAACUCAAAGGAAUUGACGG